AGCGGCAACAGCUCAAAUUUGAAAGCUGGCCCCCCCCGGGGGUCCGCGUUGUAAUUUGUAGAGGAUGAUUCGGCGAGGGCUCCCGCCUAAGUCCCCUGGAACGGGGCGUCAUAGAGGGUGAGAAUCCCGUAUGCGGUGGGCUGCCUUAGCCAUGUGAAUCUCCUUCGACGAGUCGAGUUGUUUGGGAAUGCAGCUCUAAAUGGGAGGUAAAUUUCUUCUAAAGCUAAAUACCGGCCAGAGACCGAUAGCGCACAAGUAGAGUGAUCGAAAGAUGAAAAGCACUUUGGAAAGAGAGUUAAAAAGUACGUGAAAUUGUUGAAAGGGAAGCGCUUGCAGCCAGACUUGCCCGCAGUUGCUCAGCCGGUCUCCUGACCGGCGCACUCUUCUGCGGCCAGGCCAGCAUCAGUUCGGGCGGUCGGAUAAAGGCCCCGGGAACGUAGCUCCUCUCGGGGAGUGUUAUAGCCCGGGGUGGAAUGCGGCCAGCCUG
rnacentral:rRNA from 1 species